rnacentral:rRNA from 1 species
AUAGCGUAUAUUAAAGUUGUUGCAGUUAAAAAGCUCGUAGUUGAACUUCAGACCUGGUCGGGCGGUCCGCCUCACGGUGUGUACUGUUUGACUGGGCCUUACCUCUUGGUGAGCCGGCGUGCCCUUUAUUGGUGUGCGUCGGGGAACCAGGACUUUUACCUUGAGAAAAUUAGAGUGUUCAAAGCAGGCUUAUGCCCGAAUACAUUAGCAUGGAAUAAUAAAAUAGGACGUGCGGUUCUAUUUUGUUGGUUUCUAGAGUCGCCGUAAUGAUUAAUAGGGAUAGUUGGGGGCAUUGGUAUUGAGUCGCUAGAGGUGAAAUUCUUGGAUUGACUCAAGACCAACUACUG